rnacentral:rRNA from 1 species
AACGAACGCUGGCGGCAGGCUUAACACAUGCAAGUCGAGUGAGACCUUCGGGUCUAGCGGCGGACGGGUGAGUAACGCGUGGGAACGUGCCCUUCUCUACGGAAUAGCCCCGGGAAACUGGGAGUAAUACCGUAUACGCCCUUUGGGGGAAAGAUUUAUCGGAGAAGGAUCGGCCCGCGUUGGAUUAGGUAGUUGGUGGGGUAAUGGCCCACCAAGCCGACGAUCCAUAGCUGGUUUGAGAGGAUGAUCAGCCACACUGGGACUGAGACACGGCCCAGACUCCUACGGGAGGCAGCAGUGGGGAAUCUUAGACAAUGGGGGCAACCCUGAUCUAGCCAUGCCGCGUGAGUGAUGAAGGCCUUAGGGUUGUAAAGCUCUUUCAGCUGGGAAGAUAAUGACGGUACCAGCAGAAGAAGCCCCGGCUAACUCCGUG